UACAGAGGGUGCGAGCGUUAAUCGGAAUUACUGGGCGUAAAGCGCGCGUAGGCGGCUUUGCAAGUCGGGUGUGAAAUCCCCAGGCUUAACCUGGGAACUGCAUUCGAGACUGCAUUGCUAGAGUAUGGGAGAGGGAAGUGGAAUUUCCGGUGUAGCGGUGAAAUGCGUAGAGAUGUGGAGGAACACCAAUGGCGAAGGCAGCCUUCUGGGCCAACACUGACGCUCAUGCACGAAAGCGUGGGGAGCAAACAGG
rnacentral:rRNA from 1 species